GGACAAGUAAGUUUUGGGUGAAGCAGGAACCUCCAAGUCCCUGGUUUAGAGUCUUCUUGGAGUCUUCAAGCACUGAACAAAAGCAGUCAUUGUUUGGAAGAACCAAGAUGAAAGGUGAGAAAAUGGAAGUGUGGAGAAGCUGAGAAUACUGUUGUCACCUCACAGUUCCCAGAUUUACUUUGUGAUUUGUAUAAUUUUAUUGCUGGAAGACCUCAAGUAUUUUAAGUAGACCAUCCCAAAUUUACUUAAUAAAAUGUAGGAAUUUGAGUUUGUAAAAAAAUCAAAGAAACACCUAUCAUAUUUUUGCUCUAAAAUUAUGAGCUGGAGAAAGUAAUGAUG
rnacentral:lncRNA from 1 species